rnacentral:rRNA from 1 species
CACGUAGGGUGCGAGCGUUGUCCGGAAUUAUUGGGCGUAAAGAGCUCGUAGGCGGUGUGUCGCGUCGGGAGUGAAAUCCACUGGCUUAACUGGUGGCUUGCUUUCGAUACGGGCAGACUGGAGGUAUGCAGGGGAGAACGGAAUUCCUGGUGUAGCGGUGAAAUGCGCAGAUAUCAGGAGGAACACCGGUGGCGAAGGCGGUUCUCUGGGCAUGUCCUGACGCUGAGGAGCGAAAGUGUGGGGAGCGAACAGG